UAUUGUCCAACAAUACUCAAACACCAAAUAGAGACCCAACUGCCCCGACCAAUCCAACUCCAAUGAAAGAAAAUCCAAAUUCAGCCCGUACGACCCCCCUCCAGUGAGAACGUGAUUUCUCAGAAAAAGAAGCGAUAGGCACAGAUCGUUCUCCCAUCCCCUUGUCGUUUUCUUCGAGCUCUUUUCCCACAGUACUAUUGUAACAGACGCAAAACGUUCUUUGGCUCGAGAUCGAGCCACAUAUUCCCCCUAAGGACACCAAAUCGAUCGAAGACGUUCGUCCCUCUUUCCUCUUCAGGGAUAGAGCUGAAACCUCAGAAAAAGGUGUUGGUCUUUUUCGGUGAAAGAAUUCAAAUUUGUUGAAGAUGAGUUUUGAUCCGAAUUCGAUCCGUUUAUUUUAUUUAAAAAAAUGAAAACCCCAGUCAUUUUAUAUGUAUAAUCGCCUUGGUUCAUUUGGAAAAGGGGGGGAAUUUUUUUAAAAAGAAAUACAGAGGAGAAAAUUAUUUUUAGGAAAAAGAAAAAAAAAGAGCAAUUUUUUUGAGUUGUCGUUGGUUUGGAAAUUCUUGACAGAAUUUCUAGCAAGUUACUAAGAAUACGCUCAAAUAUAACUCCGAACAAAAAAUUCUUGGGUUUGUUGUCGAUUUCUUUGAUUACUGUUCGUAUCAUAAGUUUUUUUUUUCGUGGUAAAGUUCGUCAUCUUCUAUUCAUCGUCCCAGAGUCGCUGCCCGGAAAAGGAUGAAUUCGACACACGAGCCUUUGAAAACAAGAAUGAUUACUAUCACUGAUCCCUUCCUCAAAGUAUGGUGGAGGUUCAUGAACAACGACAAUAAAAUAAUCGUUCAGAAACACAUAGGUUACCUUCCAUCGCUGCUAGAGAUGAAUGCUUGACCUAGCCUAAUUGAGACGAUGGUGAAAUUCUGGGAUUGUGAGAACAUGGUCUUUCAGUUCGGGGAAGUGGAGUUGACGCCAACUAUAGAAGAAGUUCUUAUCAGCUAUGAAAGUGUCGCCAUGUGCAACAAAAGGAAACGACAUCCAGAUACAGAUCUCCUAAAUUUCAUAAUAUGAGAUUUCACCAAAAUUAGAGAAAAAUUGUCAUUGGUUAAAGCCGAGUGGAUGGAAAAGAUCCUUGGUCUAAAUAUAACCUUCAAAAAACUAUAUUAUCGGUUCGGGCGUGCAAGGGAUAAUGACAAAAAUUAAGACAAGUUCGUUUCAAAAGAAAAAUGGAAAAAGACACGUUCCCUCGCAUUUGCAAUAUGUUUGCUCGGAACGAUGGUUUUCCUUCGAGGACCAAAAUGUACUAUUCAUCUUAGUGUGUUUAUGGUGACUCAUGCCAUCUUCUAUAGAGUGAAUUAUAAAACAUCAACAAAUUACUACACUUUAGCACCUAUGAUUCUGGCCGACAUCUAUAGGGCUUAGACAAAUGUUAGAGCGGAGAACGCUUUUUUCAAGGGUGUAAUCUGAUACUACAGUGGUGGAUGAUGCGACAUUUGAUCAAAACUCAUAAUCCAAAAGAACCAGAUCCCCUAAGGCGGUCAAACGAGCUACAUGGUCAUGAUUGGUGGUUAUAUCACAAUCGUUGCAAUAAGACUGGAGGAUAGAGUUUUUGAUAUUCGAGGCUUCGAGAGCUGAGAGAAGAAGACGUACAAUGGUCAAUAGAUAGUUUGGUGGUAACUAAGAAUAUGGUGGUUCAAAUAGAAAAUGUCCCUUAUAAGGUAUUUGCUGGGUUAAGAGGGACUAGACCAUAUGCUCUCAAUCACGUUUUGAGACAACUAGGAGGGAAACAAGAGUUGCCCCAGAUUGCAUAUAUGAGGAAAUUUGCAACUGACCACGAGAAUGGACGAGUUGCGUUUGCUAAAGACAUGCAUAGGAUGUGGAGAUUUCGAAGAGUGUUGGUGAACUUGUACCAAACAUGUUUCGUCCAGAAUGUUCGAGGGAGUACAAAGAAUGGUUGAAAAAGAGUCUAAAUGGAACUAUUGAGCCUAGUCCAAACGUUCCUCACAUUAUUGCAGAUAUUGGAGCCCAACAUCAAGUCCGACUUCACCGACUUCAAGAGAAGUUUGAUAAAAAUAAAUUAGAGCAUCAACGUCGUCACUCAGAAGACGCCAAGUCAUAGCUCGAUUGAAACAAGAACUGCGAAGAGCCAGACAAUGCAUGGCAGAGUUGGAUGAUAGCAUGGAACAACAGAUUCAGUCGAUAGAGGGGUUCAUACAUCAAGAAGGAACUCGAUUGGUGAGAGAUCAUUUAUGGGCGAAAAAAUAUGCUAUGUGGGAAGAGGUCAACAUCGCCAAGAGGACCAGAAUUGACGAAGAAUCAGAGGAGGCUUGAAUUUUAUUUACCAUCCCCUGCGUGGGACUGCUUUAUUUGUACUUCAUUUUGUAAUUUGUUUUCAAAACUAUUUUUUUGUUUUAUGUUUAUAAGACAUUCUAGAUGUUAUUAAUGAAGUAUUUUGGGAAUAAAAUAUCGGGUUUAAAAA